GCGACCCUAGCUCAGUUGGUAGAGCACCGCACUGAAAAUGCGGGUGUCCCCAGUUCGACUCUGGGGGGUCGCACCA
rnacentral:tRNA from 1 species